CGUCUAUAUACGUAUAGCAUAUCAAUAAGCGGAGGAAAAGAAGCUAACAAGGAUUCCCUUAGUAACGGCGAGUGAAGCGGGAAGAGCUCAAAUUUGAAAUCUUCAAGGUUCCUACCUUGACGAAUUGUAGUUUAAAGAAGUGUUUUCUGUUAGAGGAGUAGCAAAAGUUCCUUGGAAUGGGACAUCAUAGAGGGUGAGAAUCCCGUAUUUGGUUAUUCUUUCUAGCUUUGUGAUACACUUUCAAAGAGUCGGAUUGUUUGGAAUGCAGUCCAAAAUGGGUGGUAAAUUUCAUCUAAAGCUAAAUAUUGGCGAGAGACCGAUAGCGGACAAGUACCGUGAGGGAAAGAUGAAAAGAACUUUGAAAAGAGAGUUAAACAGUACGUGAAAUUGUCAAAAGGGAAGCGUUUGACACCAGUGUUGUUUUUCCGAAAAUCAAUUAAGAGUGGCUUGAUUUUGUGUUGUAUUGACCUUAUCAGCUUUCUUCACUCUUUUUCGAGUCUUUCUUAAUGCACUUUUCGGUUAACAAGUCAACAUCAAUUUCUUUUGUUGUAAAAGGGUAUUUGGAAGGUGGCUUUCUUUUCGGAGAAAGUGUUUAUAGCCUUAUACCUCUACAAUCGGAGAGAUUGAGGUCUGCAGCGUAGAUCCUUCGGGGCUAGAUACACUUGUGCUAAGUUAUAGCCUUUCAUAGACAACUUGUUGACUAUGUUUAGUCAUGUAGCUUACCCGCUUGUGCUAUUUUACCUACGCUUAGGAUGUUGAGUCAUCACACAUCUCU
rnacentral:rRNA from 1 species